rnacentral:rRNA from 1 species
GCGAAUUGCGUGCGAUGAGAGUGGGGAAAGGGUAGGUGGCGAGCUUUGGCCGGAAUUGUGGGUCGUAAAGAGAUGGUAGGAGGUUUGUCACGGCGGGGGGGAAAUCCCGGUGCUUAACCCCGGGUCUGCAUUCGAUACGGGCAGGCUAGAGUGUGGUAGGGGAGAUCGGAAUUCCGGGUGUAGCGGUGAAAUGCGCAGAUAUCAGGAGGAACACCGGUGGCGAAGGCGGAUCUCUGGGCCAUUACUGACGCUGAGGAGCGAAAGCGUGGGGAGCGAACAGGAUUAGAUAGCCCGGUAGUC